rnacentral:ribozyme from 1 species
ACUCGACUAGACGAGUAUAAAUAGUUGUUAAGUCUAGUGCGUUAUUAUAACAUUGUUGUAAUAGGUCAAA